GUCAGGAUGGCCGAGCGGUCUAAGGCGCGCAGCGUUCAGGUCGCAGUCCACUCUGUGGGCGUGGGUUCGAAUCCCUCUUCUAACA